CUGUCCAUGUGGUCCACAAUUUAAUAAAAUAAAAAAUAAGUUCUGAUACAAUUUGUUUAAGAAAAUAGAAUUUGAAAACCAAAGUUAAACAAACUCAGACCCUUUUUAAAUAAUCUUUACGUCUUUUCAUAUUUCUUUUUGCAUUUUAAUUUGUUUUUAAUUGUUUAUUCGUUUUUCUCUAAAAAAAAUAUAUAGAUACAUUGAUGAUUUGAAUACCGUAGACCACUUUUAGCAUUAUUGGAAGUCCAUCCCAGUAUUGGAGCCCUCCCUGGCCAUAUUUAACCUAUAUAUUUUGUGUUUCUGCAUUCAUGGGAUAAUCUUUAAUACUCGUAUCAUACUGACACCAUUUUUAAACAAAAAAUAUUAAAACAUUCUAAUACAGAAAAACUAAUUAAACAACAUUUAGUUAUUGUAAAGGUGUAAAACAACAUGUCUAAAUUUAGAUAAUUGUUUCGACAUCCAACUUAUCUAAAAUAAUACUUGUUUUCCGGAAAAUGUCUGGACCUUCAAAAAUA
rnacentral:lncRNA from 1 species